rnacentral:misc_RNA from 1 species
GAUGAGGAACGCAGCGAACGUGCGAAACGUAAUGUGAAUUGCAGAAUUCAGUGAAUCAUCGAAUCUUUGAACGCAUCUUGCGCUCCUUGGUAUUCCGAGGAGCAUGCCUGUUUGAGUGUCGUGAAUACUCUCAACUUCAACCCUUUUUUCGGAAAGGGAGGAAGGUUGGACUUGGGUGUUUGUUGAAGUGCGAGCUUCGACUCAUCCUAAAUGCAUUAGCGAUCUGCCUCGAUCACACACAAUGUGAUAAUUAAAACUAAAGCAUUGUUUAAUGAUCAAGUCGAGACUGCUUCUAACUGUCGCAAGACAAUAACGUGCAUAUAUUUGUGCAUGUCAUUUGACCUCAAAUCAGGUAGGACUACCCGCUGAACUUAAGCAUAUCAAUAAGCGGAGGA